CAGCCGCCACGGUAAUACGGAGGGUGCGAGCGUUAAUCGGAAUUACUGGGCGUAAAGCGUACGCAGGCGGUUUGUUAAGUCAGAUGUGAAAUCCCCGAGCUUAACUCGGGAACUGCAUUUGAAACUGGCAGGCUAGAGUCUCGUAGAGGGGGGUAGAAUUCCAGGUGUAGCGGUGAAAUGCGUAGAGAUCUGGAGGAAUACCGGUGGCGAAGGCGGCCCCCUGGACGAAGACUGACGCUCAGGUACGAAAGCGUGGGGAGCAAACAGGAUUAGAUACCCCGGUAGUCCCUGUCUCUUAUAC
rnacentral:rRNA from 1 species